AUUGAACGCUGGCGGCAGGCCUAACACAUGCAAGUCGAGCGGAGCGGCGGACGGGUGAGUAAUGCAUAGGAAUCUGCCCGGCAGUGGGGGAUAACGUCCGGAAACGGGCGCUAAUACCGCAUCCUAUCAGAUGAGCCUAGGGCGGAUUAGCUCGUUGGGGGGGUAAAGGGCUACCAAGGCGACGAUCCGUAACUGGUCUGAGAGGAGGAUCAGUCAGACUGGAACUGUGACACGGUCCAGACGCCUACGGGAGUCAGCAGUGGGAGAUAUUGGAGAAUGGGCGAAAGCCGGGUCCGGCGGAGGCGCGGGUGUGAAGAAGGUCUUCAGAUUGUAAAGCACUUUAAGUUGGGAGGCGUUACCAGCAGAAUAAGCACCGGCUAACUUCGUGCCAGCAGCCGCGGUAAUUC
rnacentral:rRNA from 1 species